UAAGCGAAAUAUUAAAUCGUGUGGCUUAACCAUACAGAUGUAUUUCGAACUGGUACACUAGAGUAUAGAAGAGGUCACUGGAAUUCUUAGUGUAGGAGUGAAAUCCGUAGAUAUUAAGAGGAACACCGAUGGCGUAGGCAGGUGACUGGUCUAUAACUGACGCUAAGGCACGAAAGCGUGGGGAGCGAACGGGAUUAGAUACCCCGGUAGUCCACGCCGUAAACUAUGGAUGCUA
rnacentral:rRNA from 1 species